rnacentral:rRNA from 1 species
GCACGUUAAACGGAUCGAGAGCCACGCUCCGACCGCGCCCCCCUCGUGGAGGCGUAUUCAAAACCUUGACACAACUACCGUCCUUUGAAACGUUUACAACCAGUAGCACUGGAUCCCUUGGCACGUCAUUCGAUGAAGAACGUAGCAAUCUGCGAUAAGUGGUGUGAUAUGCAAGUCCACAGCUUAUACGUGAACCAUCGAAUCUUUGAACGCACUGCACUAUCCGGACGACACCCCCGUGAUAGUAUGCCCCGUUGAGUGUCAUUUAUCCGUUCAGACGCAUGCGCGUUCGUCUCGCGCUUGCGGAUGAGUUCGAGGUUCACGUCCGCUUUGGACGCGUCCCUUGAGAUCGAUGAGCACGCUUGGUCCGCCCCGCGCCCGUCUUGUGAUGAUUUUGCAAGCCAAGGCCGGAGCAUCUGACCCGUGCCGACCGCCGCCUCCAGGCAAACCCGGGCCUCACGGUCCAACUCUCGUAUAUGACCUCAGUGGGGUAGGACAACCCGCUAGACUUAAGCAUAUUAAUCAGCGGAGGAAAAGAAACUAACAAGGAUUCCCCCAGUAACUGCGAGUGAAGAGGGAACAGCUCAACGUGUGAAUCUGGCUGGGAGUAACCCCCGGUCCAGAGUUGUGCACUGUAGACGUCGGUUUCUGCGCUUGAAUUCCAGUUGUCAGUCCCAAGUCGGAUGAAACACCGCAUCACAGAAGGUCAUAGUCCUGUGUCUGACUGUGCUUGAAUUUGCGCCAAUGACCGCACGUUCGUCGAGUCGCGUAGUUUUGUAAUGCUGCGCCAAUUGGGAGGUGGAACCCUUCUAAAGCUAAAUAUGAUGACGUGACCGAUAGCAAACAAGUACCGCGAGGGAAAGGUGAAAAGCAACCAUGUAGAAUGCGUUGAAACAGCAGUGAAAGUGCUACUGGGAUAAGGGCUAUUGACUGCUCGUCUUUCGGUAGCGUGCUUCAGUGCUGCUCCGGGAGCGGCCUGCGCCGAUUGGAGGUGGGAGACGCGCUCGGGGUUGAAUUCGGCCGACGGUU